AAAUUGAGCCCUAUUUUGAGGGAAAUUAGUUUUGCAGACUUCGUUUAAAAAAAAAAAAAAGCUAAAACUUUUGUUCACCAGCUGCUCAACUUUUCAGUCUGGGUCUGAGCUGGAACCUGCUGCAAGCGUUUGACGGCCAUUACCUUACUGGGUGGCCUCACUGUUCUUAGUUGGAUGACACAGGACUCUCCACUGCAAUCUACUUGCCUAGAGCAUCUCCAGAAGCAGGAGGGAGAAUGGUUUUGAAUCUUAGCUCUAUCAUUUUCUGACUCUGUACCAAAUUCCAUAUAGAUCUGUCAGAAUGAUGUAAGACCUGAAAUCUCUCUGUAAGUUGAUCCUCUUGACCCCAUGAUUAGGAGCUUCACAAUGUGGUACCACACCUGGAAAUCUCCAGAACAAGACCUCAAGGAAACACAGGAAAUCCCCGGAGUGGCAAAACAUCCGACUUGAAGACAUUCAAUUAUUUCUCUGUGCAUCAGGAGCAUCCCUGUUAAUUAUUGAUAUGCUUGAAAGAGUUUGUUUAGCAAUAGCCCUUGCAGAAAAAUAAAGAGCCGUGUAUUAUUCAUGAUGAACUAGACAAUGCUGCCACAAUGAGUUAACGUCUACAUCUUAUUCCCUUGGCAAAAGUUUAGUUCUUAAUCCUGCAAAUUUUGAUGCAAGAUGGUUGGCUCUCCAGGCAGAUACUGACCUUGUGAAAUAGUCAUCUCAACAUGUUCCUCCAUAACAAGACUCCAUAGCAGGGGAAGAUGGAAGUGGAGGGUCACACACCUGGUCUUAUACACUUUGAUGCAAAGGUGAUACAUGUCAUUUUUACUUACAGCUUGUAGGCCAGAACAAAGCCUAAUAUACCUGCAAGGGGUCUGGAAAAUAUUCUCAAGCACAUGGCUGUUUGGUGAGCAGUAAAUGUUUCCGCCACACCAGGCUUUGGCAGACUUCAAAUUUGUUCCUAAUAGGCCUAAUUUACACCACUAACUGUAUAUCCCUUGAGUCUUCCUGGAAUAUUUUGUUAAUGUUUUUCUAGCACAGUGUCUGGCACAAAGUAUGCAAUAAACAUACUCAGCAGAACA